AUGAGCUUGUGAUUGGUGCACUGCGAUGGACGAGCAUCCCAUCCGAGGUGAAUUCUCCCACACUGUGUUCAUUGUUCCACAGGAUCCACUGCAGCACAGAAAAGGAUAGAGAUGUUACUGAAGAAAAAUGAAUAAAAGUUUAAAUAUUAUCAAUUUUACUGAGCCGGACAUCUCAGUUGAGGAUUCCUGAAAAAGAGCCAGAUCCGAUGGGGGGAUUGGAAAGACGUCAUCUCUUUAGAAGAACCUACAAGGGAGACUGCUGAUGACAAUGGUGGCAUGUUUGAGCCCAUCAUAUCAGUCCUGUUAACAACUGACGCACACUGUUGUAUAUUCUAGGUUUGUUCUAGCGACAUUUUAUACUUUUCUUUGCACCAAGCUAGUCUUUGUGUAAUACAGCAUUAUGCCAGCUUUUGUACUUUAUUAGCUACAGUUGCAGUCAAACGUGUACAU
ensembl:lncRNA